UUACGGGAAACUUUCAGGUCUGUGGUGUCCACCCAUACCAUACUGCUGUCGAAUAGAUCUUUCUCAAGUAGUUUCUACAAGAAGAAUGGCAGGAAUACGUACCCCGGGGAGAGUGAAGCCUUUCUUACUAGUGCUGGUGGAUCCCUUGCUUUGUGUCUGCCAUGUUGCCCUGGCUGCCUGGAAAGAAGAAAGGCCACUCCACUCGAAAACUAAAAGGACAAAAGACAAGCCACACCAAUCCGGAGAAGAUAAUAGAUGGAAAGAACCCGAAGAGCCAAAUGAAGACAAAAGAUAAGAUAUAUGGAAAACAGGAAUAUCCCCAUCGGACAGGACUCUGAAGUCUUUUUUUUUUUUAUACUCCCCGCCCCCCAACCCCCACUAUUCUUCGUCUUACCGGACCUCCCCCCUUUCCUUUUUUUUCCCUAUCUCCCCCUUCCCUCCUCUCCCCCCAGCCCCCCUCCCCCUACUCAUGCCUCCCUUUACCCCUACCGACAU